rnacentral:rRNA from 1 species
CUAGCGUUGUCCGGAAUCAUUGGGCGUAAAGAGCUCGUAGGCGGUUCGGCAAGUCACGGGUGAAAUCUCCACGCUUAACGUGGAGGCGCCACGUGAAACUGCCGUGACUCGAGUCCGGUAGGGGAGUGUGGAAUUCCCGGUGUAGCGGUGAAAUGCGCAGAUAUCGGGAGGAACACCAGUAGCGAAGGCGGCACUCUGGGCCGGUACUGACGCUGAGGAGCGAAAGCGUGGGGAGCGAACAGG